UACGAGGACCCCGAGCGUUAUCCGGAUUUAUUGGGCGUAAAGAGUGCGCAGGAGGUCGUGUGCGUCAGGCGUUAAAUGUCUCAGCUUAACUGGGUCGCCGCGUCUGAUACGGCACGACUAGAGCAUGUUAGAGGUUACUAGAACUUAUGGUGUAGGGGUGAAAUCCGUUGAUAUCAUAGGGAAUACCAAAGGCGAAGGCAUGUAACUGGAACAUUGCUGACUCUCAUUGCACGAAAGCGUGGGGAGCAAACAGG
rnacentral:rRNA from 1 species